rnacentral:rRNA from 1 species
UCCGAAGGGGGCUAGCGUUGCUCGGAAUCACUGGGCGUAAAGCGCACGUAGGCGGAUCUUUAAGUCAGGGGUGAAAUCCCGAGGCUCAACCUCGGAACUGCCCUUGAUACUGGGGAUCUCGAGUCCGGAAGAGGUUGGUGGAACUCCGAGUGUAGAGGUGAAAUUCGUAGAUAUUCGGAAGAACACCAGUGGCGAAGGCGGCCAACUGGUCCGGCACUGACGCUGAGGUGCGAAAGCGUGGGGAGCAAACAGG